AGUGAACGCUGGCGGUAGGCCUAACACAUGCAAGUCGAACGGCAGCACAGUAAGAGCUUGCUCUUACGGGUGGCGAGUGGCGGACGGGUGAGGAAUACAUCGGAAUCUACUUUUUCGUGGGGGAUAGCGUAGGGAAACUUACGCUAAUACCGCAUACGACCUACGGGUGAAAGCAGGGGAUCUUCGGACCUUGCGCGAUUGAAUGAGCCGAUGUCGGAUUAGCUAGUUGGCGGGGUAAAGGCCCACCAAGGCGACGAUCCGUAGCUGGUCUGAGAGGAUGAUCAGCCACACUGGAGCUGAGACACGGUCCAGACUCCUACGGGAGGCAGCAGUGGGGAAUAUUGGACAAUGGGCGCAAGCCUGAUCCAGCCAUACCGCGUGGGUGAAGAAGGCCUUCGGAUUGUAAAGCCCUUUUGUUGGGAAAGAAAAGCAGCAGGUUAAUACCCCGCUGUUCUGACGGUACCCAAAGAAUAAGCACCGGCUAACUUCGUG
rnacentral:rRNA from 1 species